AUACUCCCACUUCUUCCUCCUGCUCCAUUGCACUUCCACUACCUACUCCUCCCACCCAGUCGUAGCGCCGCUCAAUCUCCGCUUCCUAUUCUUUGGCAACUGGCUGUAGCAGAAGAAGAAGGUGAAGCUCCGGUUCCCUAAUCCCCCCACCCCGAUUUCGAAAAAUUUUCCUUAUUUUUUGUUAUUUUGAUUUCUUUUUUGUAAUAUUGUUUUAUAUUUUAUUAUCAUUAAAU
rnacentral:lncRNA from 1 species